UGCAGUCGAGCGGACCGACGGGAGCUUGCUCCCUUAGGUCAGCGGCGCACGGGUGAGUAACACGUGGGUAACCUGCCUGUAAGACUGGGAUAACUCCGGGAAACCGGGGCUAAUACCGGAUGCUUGAUUGAACCGCAUGGUUCAAUCAUGAAAGGCGGCUUCGGCUGCCGUUUACAGAUGGACCCGCGGCGCAUUAGCUAGUUGGUGAGGUAACGGCUCACCAAGGCGACGAUGCGUAGCCGACCUGAGAGGGUGAUCGGCCACACUGGGACUGAGACACGGCCCAGACUCCUACGGGAGGCAGCAGUAGGGAAUCUUCCGCAAUGGACGAAAGUCUGACGGAGCAACGCCGCGUGAGUGAUGAAGGUUUUCGGAUCGUAAAGCUCUGUUGUUAGGGAAGAACAAGUACCGUUCGAAUAGGGCGGUACCUUGACGGUACCUAACCAGAAAGCCACGGCUAACUACGUGCCAGCAGCCGCGGUAAUACGUAGGUGGCAAGCGUUGUCCGGAAUUAUUGGGCGUAAAGCGCGCGCAGGCGGUUUCUUAAGUCUGAUGUGAAAGCCCCCGGCUCAACCGGGGAGGGUCAUUGGAAACUGGGGAACUUGAGUGCAGAAGAGGAGAGUGGAAUUCCACGUGUAGCGGUGAAAUGCGUAGAGAUGUGGAGGAACACCAGUGGCGAAAGCGACUCUCUGGUCUGUAACUGACGCUGAG
rnacentral:rRNA from 1 species